rnacentral:rRNA from 1 species
UACGUAGGGUGCGAGCGUUGUCCGGAAUUAUUGGGCGUAAAGAGCUUGUAGGCGGUUUGUCGCGUCUGCCGUGAAAGCCCAGGGCUUAACCCUGGGUCUGCGGUGGGUACGGCAGACUAGAGUGUGGUAGGGGAGACUGGAAUUCCUGGUGUAGCGGUGAAAUGCGCAGAUAUCAGGAGGAACACCGAUGGCGAAGGCAGGUCUCUGGGCCACUACUGACGCUGAGAAGCGAAAGCAUGGGGAGCAAACAGG